GUCCCAAGUACAUGGAUGCCCCAUCCACACUAUCAUUUUCUAUGUUUAGUGGACCAUGAAAAUGGGAUUAAAUUUCUAAUUUGGCAUUAAAAUUAAUCAUAUCAUAGGGAACAUGUUACUAAGUUUCAAGUUGAUGGACUUCAACUUCAUCAAAAACUACCUCGACCAAAAAUUUUAACCUGAAGUUUAACCUGAAGCAGGACAGACGUACAAACGGAAAACAUAAUGCCCAUAAAUGGGGCUUAAAAAUAAUGUCACUAUCAACAUAGAGUCCUCUAUUUUAUGAGCUACCUUAAUGAUUCAAACUGUCAUGAAUUAAUAUAUGUGCCUGAAUAUUCUAUCUUAAUAGGAAUUUUUUGUGUUAUUUUUGUUUAUAAAAGCCUUUGUGAACUUUGUAUUCAUCUAACUGAAUUUUUAAAGUAGAGUCUGACUGAAAACGACCAUGUCAUUAAAAGGGCUGAUACCUUUGCUUUGAAAUGGGGCUUAUAAAAUUAUAAAUUCAUUUAUAUGAAAAUGUGUUGCCAGUGUGACCAUAUCUCAUACUUGAUGAUGCGACAGACACAAGAAAAGUAUGCUCAAAAACCUUUCCUUGCUUAUAAAGCAGUCAAGACUAUCAUAAUUUUGGAGUAGUUCAUAUAUGUGAAAACCAUUUCACUUUUGUCAGUCAUAAAGCGUAGCAUAUACAUCUAUAAACUUCUUCUAAAUCAAAUUCAAAUUUUACAAUAGCAAAGCUAAA
rnacentral:lncRNA from 1 species